rnacentral:rRNA from 1 species
UACAGAGGGGGCAAGCGUUGUUCGGAAUUACUGGGCGUAAAGGGCUUGUAGGCGGCCAACUAAGUCGGAUGUGAAAUCCCCAGGCUUAACCUGGGAACUGCAUCCGAUACUGGUCGGCUUGAAUCCGGGAGAGGGAUGCAGAAUUCCAGGUGUAGCGGUGAAAUGCGUAGAUAUCUGGAGGAAUACCGGUGGCGAAGGCGGCAUCCUGGACCGGCAUUGACGCUGAACAGCGAAAGCUAGGGGAGCAAACGGG